GGGGUUGACUGGAUUUGACAGCAGGCCGAGAUGGUACGUAAGCAUGCGGAGUGACGGCUGUGGACUCCAUAAUCACGUCGGUCGAACAAUUAAUUGCUUUAUUCUCUUACAAGGUGAGAGAACGAGACAUCGCUCUUCUGGAUGUUGUUCCGAAUCGGGAAGGUAUAGCGGUGCAGGUUCUUCGGAAAUAGUCUCUUGGGAGCCUCGACUACGGGAUGAAGUUUUAGAGGAUAAGGGUGCGAUUGGUGGUCCGGGUCUUGUCGCAUCACGAAAAUGAAGUCCGGAAUAAGCAUGUAGAAAGCGUAUGGUUUCCCUGUUUGGACGAGGGUUCGACUCCCUCCAGCUCCACU
rnacentral:tmRNA from 1 species